GCGUCAUUAAUCUCAACUGGCUAGAGUAUUCGGUUCAUACCCGAAAGGCUUGAGGUUCGAGUCCUCAAUGACGCA
rnacentral:tRNA from 1 species